rnacentral:misc_RNA from 1 species
AAGUCGUAACAAGGUUUCCGUAGGUGAACCUGCGGAAGGAUCAUUAUUACGUAUCCAACGUAUAAACCAAACGUGAACUGUUUCCGCUCAUUGCCGGGGUUAAUGGCUUGGCUACGCAAUGGUUCCAUGUUAGUGUUCUGUUUCGCUUGCGAAAUAGAGGAACUGUAGCCUUGUCGCCACUUCGGUGGGACUCUGGCAGUGAUGCUGGUUAUCUAACACUAACACCAUCAUCUCAUAAACCUUUUGUACCCUACUUGGAACUAAUCAUGUUUCGCGCUCUGUGGACUCUUUUACUGGAGC